CUUCACCCCAUUUUACAGAUGAAGAAGCUGAGGAAGGAGAAAUGAAGCAACUUGUCCUGGGGUCACACUGUUGACAUAAAGCAGAGCUAGGCCCAGCUCCAGCCUGGGCUCCCAGGAGGCUCUGAGGCUGAAGGCAGGGUUCACGUUAGACCCAGUUUUCCACCUCCUAUUGGUCAGCCCCACCAGAACUCGGACUCCAGGCCAGGCCGCACACUGGGCCACCCCAGGAGGCACCAUUAACGUGAAAUGCAGCACGAGUGGGGACCCUGGAGCUGUUCCACCCAUUGGUCCAGCCUGGGAGUCCACCUGGCCUAACGAGGCAUUGGGCUUAUCCUGAAUUCCCUGGAAUCCUGCCAUCUUGUGGACACUUUAGGAAUUACCCACACUCUCCCAGGCUUGCAGGCUCUGCUGAACCUCACACCCACGGGGCCUCGCCUCUGAGGGGUACAAAGCCAGCCCAGACACGGGACCAUCUCACCCCCACAACUGUGGUUGCCUCUCUGCUUCCUCUACUGCACCUUCUAGUCCAUUCUCAGCCAGCAGCCAGAGCCAUCUGUUGAAGAUGAAGAUUCCAUUCUGCCACGACGCGAGGAACUCCUUACCCAGACUCACCCUGCAGGCGCUGGCCCCUCCUCUCCUCACCCUUGUCAGCUACUCUCCUACCCAGCUCACCACGUUCCAGCUACACUGCCCUUCUCUUCAGUGAGAGAUAUGGACCUGCCCCAGGACCCUUGCACUGGCUGUUUCCACUGCCAGGAGUACCUUCCUCCGGAGUCAUA
rnacentral:lncRNA from 1 species